CCUAGAUCUGUUUGUGAGAUGAGGAAGACCUAUGCCAGCCCUCACCCUCUGGUGCUGCUGGCUCAGCCUUUAUUAAGUCUCUCUUUCCUAAGGAUGUUGGGAUCUUCUUCAAGACCUGUUCCCUCUGGGAAAUUUUGUGGAGGGUCUCAUAUGCUUAAGCUCCUGUUUUCAACACCAAAGAGUCAUAUAUCAGGGUGGUAUGUAACUGGCUUUCAAACACCUAUGAAUUCCAAGGACUAAAUGUAUCAGGAUUAGCCACCGUAUGCAGGAGGAAAUUGGGAACACGGAAAGACAUAAAAGACUUGUCAUCCACUUCAGCACUUUCUGCCUUCGGUAACACUGCAUAUCCCUUGGCCUUUCAAUCUACACUGUGGCUGCAGUCAUAGAACAUGUAAAUAUUGAGAGAGACUGUACAUAGAACAGAUGCAGUGUUAUGCUAGUAGCUUUCCAAAAAGGUUUCUUUCCCUAGAGUGGACAGUAUUAAGCUGUUUCUACAGGCAGCUAGAUUUUUCAUAGCAGUUAGUAGUCUGGAUAUCUGUAAAAGCACUGGAAAGAAAGCCCACCUGUCUACGUCAAAAAGAAGAGAGGAAAAAUGAAGCCAUCUUCAGGGACUACAAGCACAAAUUGGAUUGAAGCUGACAGGCAUUAUUUAGAAUAAUCAACAGGAAAGAAAUGUUCAUUGGAGAAGGGAGCAAAGUAACCAGGCAGCAUAACCAAGAGUGGAACUACUCAGUGAUUCAUCCUUGACUCUGGAAUUUACUUCUCCCCUUCUACUAACAAAGCUCAUUUUGAGGACUGUCAAGAAUUUACGGUAAAAAACAGAAGUCUAUAUAGCACACAACUCCAAGGAAAGGACAGAAAAAUCUAACAAGAUAUACUCCGUAAUAUGAAGAUAUGAUGAAUACUGUACUCUUUGCAAAGUCUGAGUGCCUUUUCCUGGUUCAUGGUCUGCCCAAAGGUGACUUUUGGAGGAAAGUUCGAACAAAAUCUCAAGAACCAUUUUUGAGCUCUGUGAAGAUGACGGUGCUGCAGCUUCUGGAGAUCCUAAAUUAAUUUCCAGUGAAUGCUGCUUUGAGAAGACCAGCAUUAUAAAAAGAUGCAAUGUCUAAUUCAGC